UGGGGAAUUUUGGACAAUGGGCGAAAGCCUGAUCCAGCAAUGCCGCGUGUGUGAAGAAGGCCUUCGGGUUGUAAAGCGCUUUUGUCCGGAAAGAAAUCCUUGGCUCUAAUACAGUCGGGGGAUGACGGUACCGGAAGAAUAAGCACCGGCUAACUACGUGCCAGCAGCCGCGGUAAUACGUAGGGUGCAAGCGUUAAUCGGAAUUACUGGGCGUAAAGCGUGCGCAGGCGGUUUGCUAAGACCGAUGUGAAAUCCCCGGGCUCAACCUGGGAACUGCAUUGGUGACUGGGCAGGCUAGAGUAUGGCAGAGGGGGGUAGAAUUCCACGUGUAGCAGUGAAAUGCGUAGAGAUGUGGAGGAAUACCGAUGGCGAAGGCAGCCCCCUGGGCCAAUACUGACGCUCAUGCACGAAAGCGUGGGGAGCAAACAGGAUUAGAUACCCCUGGUAGUCCACGCCCUAAACGAUGUCAACUAGUUGUUGGGGAUUCAUUUCCUUAGUAACGUAGCUAACGCGUGAAGUUGACCGCCUGGGGGAGUACGGUCGCAAGAUU
rnacentral:rRNA from 1 species